rnacentral:rRNA from 1 species
GACGUAGGGCGCGAGCGUUGUCCGGAUUUAUUGGGCGUAAAGAGCUCGUAGGCGGUCUGUCACGUCGGCUGUGAAAACCCGGGGCUCAACCCCGGGCCUGCAUUCGAUACGGGCAGACUAGAGUUCGGUAGGGGAGUCUGGAAUUCCUGGUGUAGCGGUGAAAUGCGCAGAUAUCAGGAGGAACACCGGUGGCGAAGGCGGGACUCUGGGCCGAUACUGACGCUGAGGAGCGAAAGCGUGGGGAGCAAACAGG